UCAAAACAACUGGUUGGUGGUGUUGAGCUAGGUCGCCAGUUCAUAGAAGUGCAAGUUGAUCAACCUAUUGAUGAAUGUGAGCUCUUGGUAAGGGAAAGGGAAAACUGUAGAACAGUUGGCGAUGCUUUCACCUCUGGAUUGACAAUUGCUUGGCCUUCAGCAUGUAUUGAGAGGUUCAGUGGUUGAGUUGAUUCGGAUGCUUCUGCUCAGGAGGAAUCAAGAUGCGAAUAUGAUAUAUUUGUUUAAGAAAGAUUUGGAGGGUGCAUUUGGGUGAACAUUAGUAGGGGUGUCACACGCUUUUAGUGAUAGGAAAUCUUUUGCAUAUUAUAGUUUACAUUACUAGGUUGAGAAAUGUAAUUUGUUGCUACAACAUGGAUCUUCUAUAUAUUCACGUUACAAGUGCUAUUGAAUGACAUGAACCAUAUUUUUUAUUUUA